AGCCUGAACGCUGGCGGCGUGGCUAAGACAUGCAAGUCGCACGGGGUCGCAAGAUCCGGUGGCGAACGGGAGAGUAAUGGAUCGCUAACGUACCCUGGAUUCCGGGAUAGCUAUCCGAAAGGGUAGGUAAUACCGGAUGAUAUCACCGACAGGCAUCUGUUGGUGCUCAAAGGAGCAAUCCGCUCUGGGAGCGGGCGA
rnacentral:rRNA from 1 species